AGUGAAGCGGGAUGAGCUCAAAUUUAAAAUCUGGCUGGUUUACUAGUCCGAAUUGUAGUUUAAAGAAGCGUUUUCGGUGGCAGCCUGGGUAUAAAUCCUUUGGAACAGGGUAUCAUAGAGGGUGAGAAUCCCGUCUUUGACUCAGUGCAUGCUACUAUGUGAUACGUUUUCAAAGAGUCGAGUUGUUUGGGAAUGCAGCUCAAAAUGGGUGGUAAAUUUCAUCUAAAGCUAAAUAUUGGCGAGAGACCGAUAGCGAACAAGUACCGUGAGGGAAAGAUGAAAAGAACUUUGAAAAGAGAGUUAAACAGUGCGUGAAAUUGUUGAAAGGGAAACGCUUGACACCAGUCAUGCGAGCGGAAAAUCAGUCUUUUGCAGUGGGGAGUUGUGUGGGUUCGGACCGCAAGGCCGGCCUGCGCUGCAUCUCUGCUGUAAGUGAUGCACUUUUUCGUUUGCAGGCCAACAUCAGUUUCUUCUGCUGGACAAAACUCUUGAGAAGGUGGCAGCUUAGGCUGUGUUAUAGCUCUUGAGCGAUACAGUGGAGGGGACUGAGGUUUUCGCAGCGCGUGCUCUCGGGCAAGGCUGAUUGGGUGCUAUGGGAUCGUUCGGUGUACAAUGCAUGCAUUUUGCGCCGUGUCUUUUCUAUACUCGCUCAACUCGGCUCUUCCGCGCUUAGGAUGUUGGCUUAAUGGUUUUAAUCGACCCGUCUUGAAACACGGACCAAGGAGUCUAACAUAUAUGCAAGUGUUUGGGUGGCAAACCCAUGCGCGUAAUGAAAGUGAACGUAGGUGCGAUCCGCAAGGUGCAGCAUCGACCGAUCUUGAUAUUUUUGGAUAGAUUUGAGUAAGAGCAUAUAUGCUGGGACCCGAAAGAUGGUGAACUAUGCCUGAAUAGGGUGAAGCCAGAGGAAACUCUGGUGGAGGCUCGUAGCGAUUCUGACGUGCAAAUCGAUCGUCAAAUUUGGGUAUAGGGGCGAAAGACUA
rnacentral:rRNA from 1 species